UGGGGGAAUAUUGGGCAAUGGGCGCAAGCCUGACCCAGCAACGCCGCGUGAAGGAAGAAGGCUUUCGGGUUGUAAACUUCUUUUGUCAGGGACGAAGCAAGUGACGGUACCUGACGAAUAAGCCACGGCUAACUACGUGCC
rnacentral:rRNA from 1 species